CGUAGAUAAUUAACUUUUAAUUAAAAUCCAUACACAUCGAUUGAUAUGGUAAUUAAUAUUUUUUAUGUAUAUUCUUAAAUUAUUUUUUACAGAAAACGUAUUUAAACGGCACAGAGCGUAGUUAUUUACUUAUUACUGCCUUAAAAAAGAACAUUUGAAUUACAAGAUUUUGCAAUGUUUAUUUUUGUCGUUUACGCUGCUUCUAUUUUGUUAAUUUCGGGUACUCAAGGAGAGCCACUAUUAUUUGCAAGAGAAGAUUGCUUCCAACCCCAUACAAUUGGUUCCAAGUGUCCAGGGACUAUCGACAUUUAUCAUUGGAACCACCACAUAAGAAAAUGCGAAAAAGCAAUAUUCGGUGGAUGUAAUCCAUCAAAAAACAAUUUUAAAUCAUUAGACGAAUGCGAGAAGGUUGCUGGCCUUCUUUGUGGUCUUUUCUGAAUUGUAUAACAAUGAAUAAACUUAUAUAUACUAAUUA